rnacentral:tmRNA from 1 species
GGGGAUGACCGGCUUCGAUGGGAUAACGAACGUUUAAAAUCGGGUCGAGUUCGUGGGAUACUCGUAAAACGCCUACACACGAAUACGUGCAAACGCAUUCUCAAACGCAAAGACAACUUUUGCUUCCCUUUUCGGAGGCAACAGCUUUGCGCCUGCUUUCGCCUAACGUAAGUUAGAGCCUAAGUCAUCGGCCUCCGUACGCUCGUAAGGGAGUAAGAGCAUGUCUAGAAACCCCAUAUUCUGCUGCAAUUACAAGAUUGCGGCUACGAAGCCCAACGGCUCGCCCUCAACGUAUUACCUAAUACGCUUCGGGCUCCGCCGGGGCUUCUCGCUCGCAAUCUUGUAAUUUCGCGACGAAAGAGGGUUUCUAGACAUGCUCGACCGGUGUUAUAUUUCCGAGCUUGGUUUUUCCGACGCCUGCUAGGGAAAACGACAUAAGCAGGCAAAAUCCGUUAGUGCUGCAAAGCACUGAAUACACCCGUAAAAAGUUUUACUCGCGACUCAUUCCAGACGGGAGUUCAAUUCUCCCCAUCUCCACUG